rnacentral:tRNA from 1 species
CGGGCCGUAGUAUACCGGUAGUACGCACGCUUCGGGUGCGUGUAGACCGAGUUCGAUUCUCGGCGGCCCGA